GGGGCCGUAGCUCAAUCGGUUAGAGCAGCGGACUCAUAAUCCGUUGGUUCUGGGUUCAAGUCCCAGCGGCCCCA
rnacentral:tRNA from 1 species